rnacentral:rRNA from 1 species
UAGGUCACGAUUCCUGGAAUGGGUUUUGGUCUAACCGGCGUGACAGCAUCAUGUCGAGUCCGCCCGAGGAUGGGACUGCGGUCGAUCAGGCUGUUGGUGGGGUAAAGGCCCACCAAACCAGUAACCGGUACGGGCUUUGAUAGAAUGAGCCCGGAGAUGGACACUGAUACUAGGGUCCAGGUCCUACGGGGCGCAGUAGGCGCGAAACCUUCGCAAUGCGCGCAAGCGCGACGAGGUUAUUCCGAGUGAUUUCCGCUGAGGAAACCUUUUCUUAGAUCUAAAAAGUCUGGGGAACAAGGGGAGGGCAAGUCUGGUGUCAUCCGCCGCGGUUAUACCUUCUCCUCGUGUGGUCAGGGCGUUUAUUGGGCCUAAAGCAUCCGUAACCUGCUCGGUAGGUCUCCUGUUAAAUCCAACGGCUUAACCGUUGGUCUGCACGAGAUACCGCUGGGCUAGGAGGCGGGAGAGGUGGACGGUACUCCGAGGGUAUGGGUAAAAUCCUUUGAUCUCCCGGAAGA